AUUGAACGCUGGCGGCAGGCCUAACACAUGCAAGUCGAGCGGUAGCACAGAGAGCUUGCUCUCGGGUGACGAGCGGCGGACGGGUGAGUAAUGCCUGGGAAACUGCCUGAUGGAGGGGGAUAACUACUGGAAACGGUAGCUAAUACCGCAUAACGUCGCAAGACCAAAGUGGGGGACCUUCGGGCCUCAUGCCAUCAGAUGUGCCCAGAUGGGAUUAGCUAGUAGGUGGGGUAACGGCUCACCUAGGCGACGAUCCCUAGCUGGUCUGAGAGGAUGACCAGCCACACUGGAACUGAGACACGGUCUAGACUCCUACGGGAGGCAGCAGUGGGGAAUAUUGCACAAUGGGCGCAAGCCUGAUGCAGCCAUGCCGCGUGUGUGAAGAAGGCCUUCGGGUUGUAAAGCACUUUCAGCGGGGAGGAAGGCGGUGAGGUUAAUAACCUCAUCGAUUGACGUUACCCGCAGAAGAAGCACCGGCUAACUCCGUGCCAGCCGCCGCCGUAAUAC
rnacentral:rRNA from 1 species